CUUCAUUCUUUUUUUUUAAACUUAAAAAGUAAAAAGAAAAAAAAGGUAAAGAAAAAGAAAAAAAAGGUAAAGAAAAAAAANAAAAAAAAAAAACAAAACUCAAGAUCUUCAAAAAGUGAUCGAUUUUGAGCAGAAAGAGUUUGAAUUUGAUCAUCACGAAGAGUUAAAUUAGUUCGAAGAGUAGAAAGUUCAACAGAUAAAACAGCAUUUUGUUGACGGAGAUCUUGAAUUUGUUGUUUAGUGACAUUUGCUUUUUCAAUUGAGAUUCAAAAU
rnacentral:rRNA from 1 species